UUGAACAGCAGUUAUGUAGAGUUCAUGACGUAGCGCGAGUGACGAAGUGGAACGUUUAUCCAGUAUACAGGUCAUAACACAUUUCAAUAUUUCUCGUAGCAUUAAUACGAUGACAUGAGACAUUUAUUUAACCAGUUUAAAUAUAUCAUUAUAUGCCUGAAUGCAUAAUCAUCUGUUAUUUUGUUGCAUGGAUUAUAAGCGGACUUUAUAACAUAAAUAGAGUAAAAAGUGGAGCAUAAGAGAUGGAAUCUGCGACACAUACCAAUAUCGGAACCCCUGAUGACGCUUUGAGACAAAUGCACCGUUUUAGGCUUCCCAUCCAAGUCACCGAUGACAGAGAGGAUGAAAUCCCUACAGAGCAACUAACGGAUCGUAGUGGACAAAUGCAUUCAGACACACGACACGAGCAAAAUAAUAACCGCAUUAAUUUUGAGAGAGCCAAAUAUCCAGAGUUCGAGGAGAUACAAUACAGAUUGGAAUCAUACCGCGGAGUAGCACU